GACGAACGCUGGCGGCGUGCUUAACACAUGCAAGUCGAACGGAAAGGCCUGUUUUCCCUUGUGGAUUGCGGGUACUCGAGUGGCGAACGGGUGAGUAACACGUGAGUGAUCUGCCCCCAACUUGGGUAUAAGCCUGGGAAACUGGGUCUAAUUCCCGAUAGGACUGCAGGGUGGUGCCUGUGGUGGAAAACGAUUUUCUAGUGGUUGGGGAUGAGCUCGCGGCCUAUCAGCUUGUUGGUGGGGUAAUGGCCUACCAAGGCGGCGACGGGUAGCCGGCCUGAGAGGGUGGACGGCCACAUUGGGACUGAGAUACGGCCCAGACUCCUACGGGAGGCAGCAGUGGGGAAUAUUGCACAAUGGGCGGAAGCCUGAUGCAGCGACGCCGCGUGGGGGAUGACGGCCUUCGGGUUGUAAACUCCUUUCGACCGCGAGGAAGCCACCUGGUUGGAAGGGUGGUGACGGUAGUGGUAGAAGAAGCACCGGCUAACUACGUG
rnacentral:rRNA from 1 species